GGGCGAAUGGUUUAGUGGUAUAAUACUCCCUUAGCAUCUGUCGAUCUCUUCGAGAUUUUCAAUUGUGCCUUCUGGGAGUGGUCCGGGGUUCGAUUCCCCGUUUGUCCA
rnacentral:tRNA from 1 species